rnacentral:lncRNA from 1 species
ACACACGCACACGCUGAACAAACGAGUACUCACACCAAAGAAGACAAACAAAAGGUGAACACACACAAAACAACAAAAGAAAAAAGAAAAGGUUGACACACAUAGACUCAAAAAAAGAAAAGGGUGUCCAGAGAGAUUGCUCGCAACCUCCUGCCUACGUAUCUCAUCUGGUAUGAGAAUCAGGGCGACGUAGUUCCCCUUAACAAGGGUACAACAC